rnacentral:rRNA from 1 species
UGCGUAGGCGGAAUAUUAAGUCAGUGGUGAAAUCCUGCGGCUCAACCGUAGAACUGCCAUUGAUACUGAUAUUCUUGAAUGUAGUUGAGGUAGGCGGAAUGUGUAAUGUAGCGGUGAAAUGCUUAGAUAUUACACAGAACACCGAUUGCGAAGGCAGCUUACUAAACUAUGAUUGACGCUGAGGCACGAAAGCGUGGGGAGCGAACAGGAUUAGAUCCCUGGUAGUCC